ACUUGUCACAUGUUUUAGGAGUGUUGACACAAAAAUUCCUUGUCACCACCUUAGAACACGUCUUCUUGAAACUAGUCUUUUGCAGAGAUCUCUUUUUCCAACUUUUGACAGGUUUCACCAUAGCACUUUGCUUAUGCAUCAGAACAUGGAGGACAGAUAAAGAAUUAUUGCAUUCCUCCCCAUUUGGUUGGUGCACUCAUGACCUUGGCUUGGCAUGGAAUGAAGAACCAUCAAGACUUUUGGAGACUUACAAGGAUGAGGAUAAUGAACAAAAUGUAGAAUUUAGAGUUAGGAUUUGUGAAUUGUUUGUGAAUGGUAUUGUAAAUGUAAACUAUUGGUUUCAAAUAUGGAUUAAAAUUUGAAUGGAAA